ensembl:lncRNA
AGCAUAGGCAAAUCCUGGAAGAGCUAUGAGUACAAUCAUAUUCUCUCAUCCUUGCAGUUAUAGAGUGCCUGGUGAUGACUCAACAAACCUACCAUUACAGGGAGCUUCAAAGUCCAGCCUGCCCAGAGGCUUGUCCAGAAUCCCUGACUGUAGGAAAUGUCCUGUAUGGGCCUCUUUGUAACUCCUAUCUGCUGGAGCAGCCAAAUUCUGGAGUCUGCAUUUUUAAGCUUAGAUGGAAUCUAGAGAUCAAGCGUCUGCAGUCCUGUGACCAGCUUGGACCAGCAGUUUCCUCAGCCCUGCUAUGAAGCAGAAAAAAAAAGAGAUAACCACAACCUCUACCUGAAACCUGUUCCACUGAGGGAAGGUUUAAAGGAGACCUUGUAAAGUGGAAGAAAUGAGGGGUUUCAACAAGUACUGGUCUUCAAGUGGGGGUAUGCAAACACUUUCUACAGGGUAAGAGACACCAACAGCUUAAGGAAUCCGUUACCAGAUCCUCGACAUAAAUCCAACAAAUUCCCUGCCUGAGCUCUUGCCUGUGCUGCCCAAGCAGAUUCUUCCUUUCUCCAACAGUCCUUUAUCCAAUUUAUAAAGGAUGAAAGACAAGAACACCUCUCACCCGUGCUAAUCUUACCAUGGCUCACUUCCCUGGGCACCAAACAGAAAGAGGAUGGGGUGGGGGGGCACUUGGGUGGGUCAGUUGGUUAAGCAUCUGCCUCUGGUUCAGGUCAUGAUCCCAGGGUACUGGGAUCGAGCCCACGUUGAGCCCCACAUCAGGCUCCUGGGAAGCCUGCUUCUCCCUUUGCCUCUACCUAUCACUCCCCCUACUCGUGCUCUCUCAGUCUCAAUCUCUCUCUCUCUCUCUGUCAAAUAAAUGGAUAAAAUCUUUUCUUAUUAUAAAAAAA